rnacentral:rRNA from 1 species
AGAAUCAACGCUGGCGGCGUGCCUAACACAUGCAAGUCGAACGAGAAAGUGGAGCAAUCCAUUAGUAAAGUGGCGCACGGGUGAGUAACACGUGACUAACCUACCCUUGAGUGGGGGAUAGCCUAGGGAAACCUGGGCUAAUACCGCAUAAUACCUUCGGGUCAAAGGAGCAAUUCGCUUAAGGAGGGGGUCGCGGCCGAUUAGUUAGUUGGCGGGGUAAUGGCCCACCAAGACUAUGAUCGGU